UGAACGCUAGCUACAGGCUUAACACAUGCAAGUCGAGGGGCAUCAGGAAGAAAGCUUGCUUUCUUUGCUGGCGACCGGCGCACGGGUGAGUAACACGUAUCCAACCUGCCCUUUACUCGGGGAUAGCCUUUCGAAAGAAAGAUUAAUACCCGAUGGCAUAAUGAUUCCGCAUGGUUUCAUUAUUAAAGGAUUCCGGUAAAGGAUGGGGAUGCGUUCCAUUAGGUUGUUGGUGAGGUAACGGCUCACCAAGCCUUCGAUGGAUAGGGGUUCUGAGAGGAAGGUCCCCCACAUUGGAACUGAGACACGGUCCAAACUCCUACGGGAGGCAGCAGUGAGGAAUAUUGGUCAAUGGGCGCUAGCCUGAACCAGCCAAGUAGCGUGAAGGAUGAAGGCUCUAUGGGUCGUAAACUUCUUUUAUAUAAGAAUAAAGUGCAGUAUGUAUACUGUUUUGUAUGUAUUAUAUGAAUAAGGAUCGGCUAACUCCGUGCCAGCAGCCGCGGUAAUACGGAGGAUCCGAGCGUUAUCCGGAUUUAUUGGGUUUAAAGGGAGCGUAGGUGGACUGGUAAGUCAGUUGUGAAAGUUUGCGGCUCAACCGUAAAAUUGCAGUUGAUACUGUCAGUCUUGAGUACAGUAGAGGUGGGCGGAAUUCGUGGUGUAGCGGUGAAAUGCUUAGAUAUCACGAAGAACUCCGAUUGCGAAGGCAGCUCACUGGACUGCAACUGACACUGAUGCUCGAAAGUGUGGGUAUCAAACAGGAUUAGAUACCCUGGUAGUCCACACAGUAAACGAUGAAUACUCGCUGUUUGCGAUAUACAGUAAGCGGCCAAGCGAAAGCAUUAAGUAUUCCACCUGGGGAGUACGCCGGCAACGGUGAAACUCAAAGGAAUUGACGGGGGCCCGCACAAGCGGAGGAACAUGUGGUUUAAUUCGAUGAUACGCGAGGAACCUUACCCGGGCUUAAAUUGCAGUGGAAUGAUGUGGAAACAUGUCAGUGAGCAAUCACCGCUGUGAAGGUGCUGCAUGGUUGUCGUCAGCUCGUGCCGUGAGGUGUCGGCUUAAGUGCCAUAACGAGCGCAACCCUUAUCUUUAGUUACUAACAGGUUAUGCUGAGGACUCUAGAGAGACUGCCGUCGUAAGAUGUGAGGAAGGUGGGGAUGACGUCAAAUCAGCACGGCCCUUACGUCCGGGGCUACACACGUGUUACAAUGGGGGGUACAGAAGGCAGCUAGCGGGUGACCGUAUGCUAAUCCCAAAAGCCUCUCUCAGUUCGGAUCGAAGUCUGCAACCCGACUUCGUGAAGCUGGAUUCGCUAGUAAUCGCGCAUCAGCCACGGCGCGGUGAAUACGUUCCCGGGCCUUGUACACACCGCCCGUCAAGCCAUGGGAGCCGGGGGUACCUGAAGUACGUAACCGCAAGGAUCGUCCUAGGGUAAAACUGGUGACUGGGGCUAAGUC
rnacentral:rRNA from 1 species